rnacentral:lncRNA from 1 species
AUGAGAUAAAUUGAAAAGAAAAACAGAGGGAGGGAAGAAGGGACCUCAAAGAAGGAUCUGACUUUACUAGUUUGAAACCAACAACGAGAAGAGCCUCGAACUAACCUCGAUGGAUCGCAGAUCUCUCCAGAGAAAUAGAAACUUCGACGAACCAACCGAGUUCUGCCGGAAUUUGAACGAAAAAAAAUGAGAUGAACCAGGCGCGUUUUCCGACGAAUCUGGGCAAGAAACGAGACGCUUCUUAUCUUUAUGAUCCCGGAUUUCAGUCUAUUUUUCGGCUGGGGUUGUUUGGAUGUCAGCGGCGGGUCUUAAUGAAGAGGCAGAUAUGUAUAAUGGAUU